CCGGUCUGGCACAAUGUGUGC
rnacentral:miRNA from 1 species